rnacentral:rRNA from 1 species
UACGGGGGGGGCAAGCGUUGUUCGGAAUUACUGGGCGUAAAGGGCUCGUAGGCGGCCAACUAAGUCAGACGUGAAAUCCCUCGGCUUAACCGGGGAACUUCGUCUGAUACUGGAUGGCUUGAGUUUGGGAGAGGGAUGCGGAAUUCCAGGUGUAGCGGUGAAAUGCGUAGAUAUCUGGAGGAACACCGGUGGCGAAGGCGGCAUCCUGGACCAACACUGACGCUGAGUGAGCGAAAGCCAGGGGAGCAAACGGG